rnacentral:rRNA from 1 species
GACGGAGGAUGCAAGCGUUAUCCGGAAUGAUUGGGCGUAAAGCGUCCGCAGGUGGCAGUUCAAGUCUGCUGUCAAAGACCGGGGCUUAACUUCGGAAAGGCAGUGGAAACUGAACAGCUAGAGUAUGGUAGGGGCAGAGGGAAUUCCUGGUGUAGCGGUGAAAUGCGUAGAUAUCUGGAGGAACACCGGUGGCGAAGGCGGCAUCCUGGACCGAGAUUGACGCUGAGGCGCGAAAGCCAGGGGAGCAAACGGG